rnacentral:rRNA from 1 species
AGUAGCCACGGGAAUACAGAGGGUGCGAGCGUUAAUCGGAUUUACUGGGCGUAAAGCGUGCGUAGGCGGCUUCUUAAGUCGGAUGUGAAAUCCCUGAGCUUAACUUAGGAAUUGCAUUCGAUACUGGGAAGCUAGAGUAUGGGAGAGGAUGGUAGAAUUCCAGGUGUAGCGGUGAAAUGCGUAGAGAUCUGGAGGAAUACCGAUGGCGAAGGCAGCCAUCUGGCCUAAUACUGACGCUGAGGUACGAAAGCAUGGGGAGCAAACAGGAUUAGAUACCCGUGUAGUCCCUGUCUCUUAUACA